rnacentral:sRNA from 1 species
CGACUUCGGUCUGCGCCGGAAGUGCAUGAGCUGCCGAUGUGGUGCUUAGUGAUUGCGGUUUCGGUCGCUCUCCCGUGUUUCCCGGGCUGGGUAUUUGCCUCGCACCAUGGCGCCCAAGGGCAAAGUGGGCACGAGAGGGAAGAAGCAGAUAUUUGAAGAGAACAGAGAGACCCUGAAGUUCUACCUGCGGAUCAUACUGGGGGCCAAUGUAAGUGCCUACCUCCUUGCUUCUAUGCCCACUUAUAGUCAGUCCCCUAGUCCUCAGCCCUGCUUGGUGACGAGGAGUGGUACCCGAAAAAGCUCUAGAAGAGAGCUCCAGUCAAAAAGAAAUGAGAGAUCUGGGCACAGAGAAAGUGCUAACUAGUAAAACACAAAGAAAAUGAAGGCGUGAGUCGUAGCUGAAUUUGAGAGCUCUUCCUACCUCCAAGUACACAAAGGCUUCUUUCCUGGGCUGAGUUGGGUGUCAGAGGAGAGUGGGUAUUUGGGAUUCAGGGAGCAGGGCCCUUUCUUCAACCCUGUAAGAACAACCUUGCUCCUCCCACAGCCUGGCCUAAUUCUUGGUCAGAGUUGAGGGAGACCCAUGGUUUGGAGGUAACUUCUGACCCCAACCUGAUCCUGUGAUUGCUUGCAGGCCAUUUACUGCCUUGUGACGUUGGUCUUCUUUUACUCAUCUGCCUCAUUUUGGGCCUGGGUAAGUAUCUCCAUCCUGGGAGGUGGAUGAGUGCGUAGGGUCAGUGGCUGGCCUUUGAUACCCUCAUUCUUGCUCUGCAGUUGGCCCUGGGCUUUAGUCUGGCAGUGUAUGGGGCCAGCUACCACUCUAUGAGCUCGAUGGCACGAGCAGCGUUCUCUGAGGAUGGGGCCCUGAUGGAUGGUGGCAUGGACCUCAACAUGGAGCAGGGCAUGGCAGAGUGAGUGUCCCCCACCGCCAGCCCAGGUGAGCGGCCCCAGGGCUGGGGCCCAGAUAGCCCAAGAAACACAGCUACUUGUAACUUGAAAAGGGUGGAAGGGAGUUGCAACUUGAAAAGGGUGGAAGGGCCCAUAUGCUGUCUUUCCAGCUUUAUUUCUAUCCACAGGCACCUUAAGGAUGUGAUCCUACUGACAGCCAUCGUGCAGGUGCUCAGCUGCUUCUCUCUCUAUGUCUGGUCCUUCUGGCUUCUGGUAUGUGGGCUGGGGGCGCUCCCAAGAAGGGGCAUCUAACCCUCCCCAUUUUUUAUUCCCUGCAUCUUGCUUCAAGUUACCGUUUCUCUUGUAGGCUCCAGGCCGGGCCCUUUACCUCCUGUGGGUGAAUGUGCUGGGCCCCUGGUUCACUGCAGACAGUGGCACCCCAGCACCAGAGCACAAUGAGAAACGGCAGCGCCGACAGGAGCGGCGGCAGAUGAAGCGGUUAUAGCCAUUGACAUUGUGGCCACAGGCCACUGGCCCUGGGUGGCUCUGUCAGGGUGCACAGCCCCUCAUGCCUGGAGCAAUGAGGGUCUAGUCCAGGGGCCAAAAGCAGUCUGAGGUAUUGGGUAUACUUAUACUCUAU